GGAGGGGUGGCCGAGCGGUUUAAGGCGCACGCCUGGAAAGCGUGUUGGGGUGAAAGCCCCUCGUGGGUUCAAAUCCCAUCCCCUCCGCCA
rnacentral:tRNA from 1 species